AGGGAGAAUCGUUUUCGGAUGAUGGAAACCGGCGCACGGGUGAGUAACACGUACAUUACCUGCCUUAUACUGGGGGAUAGCCUUUGGAAACGAAGAGUAAUACCCCAUAGUUCCGUCCUUGUGGCGGAUAAAGUUCCGACGGUAUAAGAUGGGUGUGCGUCUGAUUAGCUUGUUGGUGAGGUAACGGCUCACCAAGGCGACGAUCAGUAGGGGGCGUGAGAGCGUGACCCCCCACACGGGUACUGAGACACGGACCCGACUCCUACGGGAGGCAGCAGUAAGGAAUAUUGGACAAUGGGCGAAAGCCUGAUCCAGCCAUCCCGCGUGCAGGAUGAAUGCCCUAUGGGUUGUAAACUGCUUUUGUAUGGGAAGAAACGCCUUGAUUUAUCAGGGCCUGACGGUACCAUUCGAAUAAGCACCGGCUAACUCCGUGCCAGCAGCCGCGGUAAUACGGAGGGUGCAAGCGUUAUCCGGAAUUACUGGGUUUAAAGGGUGCGUAGGCGGCGUUAUUAGUCAGAGGUGAAAUCUUGCAGCUUAACUGUAAAAUUGCCCCUGAUACUGUAAUGCUUGAAUCAAGUUGAGGUCGGCGGAAUGUGGCAUGUAGCGGUGAAAUGCUUAGAUAUGCCAUAGAACACCAAUUGCGAAGGCAGCUGACUAGGCUUGUAUUGACGCUGAGGCACGAAAGCGUGGGGGAGCGAACAGGAUUAGAUACCCUGGUAGUCCACGCCCUAAACGAUGCUAACUCGAUAUAUGCCCCUUGAGGGUGUGUGUCUAAAGGAAACCAAUAAGUUAGCCACCUGG
rnacentral:rRNA from 1 species